AUGGCUGCCGCCGCCGCUGCCACGCCGUCGGCCUUGGCUCCGCCGCGCCCGCGUCUCCUCUCCUGCCGACCGCCGCGCAGGAGGGCGGCGCCGCUGCCGCGGUGGACCGCGUCCGCCUCCAGGAGCGGAGCGCCAUCGUCGUCGAUGGACGGGACGGUGAAGGCCGGGAGGAGGCCGGGGGUGAGGGAGUACGUGGAGGCGGCGCGGGAGAUGGCGCGGCGGCCGGACGGCGGGCCGCCCAGGUGGUUCGCGCCGCUCGAGUGCGGCGGCGGCGAGCGCGUCCCCGGCGCGCCGACGCUGCUCUACUUGCCCGGAAUCGAUGGAGUUGGCCUAGGGCUGAUCCGGCACCACGAGAGAUUAGCAAAGAUGUUCGACAUGUGGUGCUUGCAUAUACCCGUCCAAGACCGUACCACCUUCCAAGGACUUGUCGAGCACGUGGAGAGGACAGUGAAAUCAGAGAGCUCAAGGGCACCCGACAGGCCGGUCUAUCUUGUUGGAGAAUCCGUCGGAGCGUGCAUUGCUCUUGCCGUGGCGGCGCGGAACCGAGACGUCGAUUUGGUGCUGGUCCUAGUCAACCCAGGGACAUCUUUCCACAGGUCACAGCUGCAGUCUCUCUCAGCACUCCUAGACUUGGUCCCUGAUCCCUUCCAUUCAAGCACUCCACAACUCCUAAAUUUUCUCACAGGCAGCUUCAUGAAGAUCUCGUCGAGAUUCGGUGGAGCUGGUCAGGCAUUAUCGGAGGUCGCCAGCGGUUUGUUGCCUUCUCUCAUGUAUUUGGCUGAUAUUUUGCCGAAGGAGUCCAUUGUUUGGAAGAUGAAAAUGUUGAGGACAGCAUCGUCGUUUGUCAAUUCUCGCUUACAUGCAGUCAAAGCCCAGACCCUCGUGGUCGCUAGUGGAAAUGAUGAACUUCUGCCAAGCCGCGAAGAGGCUGAAAGACUACGUGGCACGCUAAAGAAAUGCAGAGUCCGCCACUUCAGGGAUAAUGGGCACAAAAUCUUGUUGGAAGAUGGAUUUGAUCUAGCGACAACCAUUAAAGGAGCCGGAGACUAUCGCCGCUCCAGGCAGACAGACUAUGUUUUAGACUUUCUACCGCUGAGCGAUGAUGAGCUCGAAAAGGCGAUCGAUCGUGACAGGCUCCUGACUUUUGCCACUGAUCCGGUGAUGUUAUCGACACUGCCUGAUGGGAAGAUAGUGAGGGGAUUGGCAGGGCUGCCAAGGGAAGGCCCUGUCUUGCUUGUUGGGUACCACAUGCUCAUGGGGUUUGAGCUUGGACCCCUGGUAACAGGAGUUCUGAGGAGUACUGGAAUCCACAUACGCGGGUUAGCACAUCCAUUCAUGUUCAACGAGAGUUCAGAGCAGCUCAUACCGGAUUCGUCGAACUACGACCUCCACCGGAUCAUGGGUGCGGUGCCUGUUACGGCGGUGAACUUUUACAAGCUCCUUUCAGAGAAGCAAUUCGUUUUGCUGUAUCCGGGAGGCGCGCGUGAAGCUCUUCAUAGGAAGGGCGAGGAAUACAGGCUAUUUUGGCCUGAGCAGUCUGAAUUUGUGCGGAUGGCAUCAAGGUUUGGAGCAACAAUAAUACCAUUUGGAGUGGUUGGAGAAGAUGACAUAUGUGAUAUGUUGUUAGACUACAACGAUCUUAUGAAGCUCCCAUUUUACGACAUCCUUGACAAGAAGCUAAAUGAAGAAGGGUUAAAGCUAAGGACUGAUUCUAUGGGAGAGAUAAAGAAUCAAGAUAUGCAUCCUGUAGUGCUGACGCCAAAAAUGCCAGGAAGAUUUUACUUCAUCUUUGGGGAGCCUAUUGAAACAAAAGGGAGGGAGAAGGAGCUAAGAGACAAAGAGAAGGCCCAGCACCUCUAUUUGCAUGUCAAAUCUGAAGUGGAGAGCUGCAUCAAGUAUCUGAAGGAGAAGAGAGAGGAGGAUCCCUACAGGAGCAUACUGCCCAGGCUUCUAUAUCAGGCAGCUCAUGGUUCCGAUGCAGAAAUACCCACAUUUGAACCAUGA
rnacentral:rRNA from 1 species